rnacentral:rRNA from 1 species
UAGGGAAUCUUCCACAAUGGACGCAAGUCUGAUGGAGCAACGCCGCGUGAGUGAAGAAGGUUUUCGGAUCGUAAAGCUCUGUUGUUGGUGAAGAAGGAUAGAGGCAGUAACUGGUCUUUAUUUGACGGUAAUCAACCAGAAAGUCACGGCUAACUACGUGCCAGCAGCCGCGGUAAUACGUAGGUGGCAAGCGUUGUCCGGAUUUAUUGGGCGUAAAGCGAGCGCAGGCGGAAUGAUAAGUCUGAUGUGAAAGCCCACGGCUCAACCGUGGAACUGCAUCGGAAACUGUCAUUCUUGAGUGCAGAAGAGGAGAGUGGAACUCCAUGUGUAGCGGUGGAAUGCGUAGAUAUAUGGAAGAACACCAGUGGCGAAGGCGGCUCUCUGGUCUGCAACUGACGCUGAGGCUCGAAAGCAUGGGUAGCGAACAGGAUUAG